CAAUAGCGUAUAUUAAAGCUGUUGCGGUUAAAAAGCUCGUAGUUGGAUUUCUGUCAAGGACAACUGGUCCGCCCUCCGGGUGAGCACAUAGUUUGGUCUUGGCAUCUUGCUGGAAGCUGUUGCUGCACUUGGCUGUGUGGCGCAGCGUCCAGCACUUUCACUUUGAGGGAAUUGGAGUGUUUCAAGCAGGCACAUGCCUUUGGACACAGUAGCAUGGAAUAAUUAGAUUGGGCUUUUGCUCCAAUUUGUCGGUUUCUGGAGCUGAGGUGAGAAUUAAUGGGGAUUGUUUGGGGCAUCCGAAUUUAGCCGUCAGAGGUGAAAUUCUUGGAUCUGCUAAAGACGGACAACUGCGAAAGCGUUUGCCCAGGAUGUUUUCAUUGA
rnacentral:rRNA from 1 species